ACACACACAAUGUUUUGAAUUUAUUGCCCACAGGUGAUCUUCCUUGCGUCUUUCCCCCUCCUCCUUCUUCAGCGAACGACAAUAUACAUCAGCAGCAUUAUUCAGCCGUCUCCUGCUUUACUGUUUACAAUCUGUAUAUGCCAGUCCUCAUCUCAAAUGCCUCCCUACAGCAGCUAGGGAAACGGAAGGCAGCAAGAAGGUUCCGGUCUGCAGUCUUUCUCCGUCUUCUUCCCGUUUCCCCUUCGCUGCCAUAUGACUUUUGAGAUCACCAUUCUGCGGUGUGUGGGAAGAAAUGUUCGCCGCGACCCUCGAGAUCGGAGAACUACUCUCAACAUCUUGAUAAGAUGCACUUCAUGUAUAGUGGCUGGGUAAGAUAUGGCAGACUCACAUUGUGGAUUAAGAGCAGAGUAAUUGUAAGGUGGAUGUAAUUGCAAGAAACAUUUAAUAUACCGCCCACUCCGAAGACUCUGGGCGGUGUACAAAAACAUGCAAAGCAAGACAGCAUUAAAAUUACAUUCUAAAUUAAAAACUAAAGUAACUAACAACAAGAUCCAAAUAGCCCUGAUUACAAAGUAUUCCUGCGAAUAUACAGUAGAUGGAAAUGGACGGAAUACAGAAGGAUGCAUACAGAUGGAAAACACUACAUUGGUAUCGUAAAAGCACUUGGAUAUUACAGAAAAUAUUCAUGAGUGGGAACCAGCAGGAAAGCCAACAUUCUGCUCUCCCCUGCAUAAAUGACAUUUCUUCAGAUCACAAAUUAAUAAAAUAACAAAUCACAUUUAUUUCCCUUAGAUAUACAUUCUGCAUUAUCUUAUAUUUUUCACAGGAAACACUCUAAAGCACUCCAAUGGCAGAAGAAUUUAAUAUCGGACCUGGUCCUAGAAGGCGGAGGAAAAACUACCAACUGGAAUUCACCACUCUGGCAGUUAAUGUUUCUUUGACAUUCAAUAAGCUAUGUUUUAUUUCUCCUUUUGAUGAGAUGUUCCCAUCCAUGGGCCCUUAUGCCAGCAGGCUACGUCUUUCCCAAGCCACUUAGCUCAGGUCUUUGAAAGAGAGAGAUUGUUGCUGAACAAGCCUUCCCUGGCAUGGCUUCUUCGCAUCAGAGAAAGCAAGCAGGCAGUGGGCAUAGUUCAUUCCCAUUGCAAGGCCACCACAAACAAACAUCCACAUCCAUAGAGAGAGGGCCGCUAUUCUUCUGCUAAUGGGAUUGGCACCGUUUAGAGCAGUCUGCUAGGACAUUGUCUGAGACCACAGCAAAAGAAACAUUAUUCAAAGGCCAUUCAGGCCCCCAAAAGAAGCGGCAGAGCCGAGUAAUUAUCGGAGGCUCUCCAUUAACGAGGGCAUCUCUGCUCUUUGUCUGUGUUGCUUUAAUAAAGCUCACUAAUAGGAUGGUGGCGGGGAGGGGCCCACUAAUGGCUCCUAACAAAAUUCUUUUUCUCGCUCCCCCCCACAUCUCCUCCUUGUUAGAAGAAGUGGCUUUAUGGAAACUGACAGCAAAGCCAUAAGUUACCAUACUGCAUAAUGACCUUUGUGAAAACUUUGGGUGAACCCAAAUGCUUUCAAGCCCCACCUCUUCAGUGCCACUGGGACAUCUCUCCCCACCCCUACUUAACAUUUUGGUGUUUGUCUGCUCUUUUCCAUUUGCCUGUGGGAGGGAGUCUUAAAAUAUAUUGUAGUGGAUCUCCUGAAAAGAACGAUGGGGGAGGGAACUUAUUGGGGCAUCCCCAAGUGUGACCACGUCAAAGAUAAAUGGAUCCAUCAUCAGCACUCACUCUUCUCCUGGUUCAUGGCUAUGGCAGGCUGCAAGGGAAAAAAACAGAAAUGGGCAGUGUUGGAUUUCUAAAAUGAGCUCCAUGUCUUUGUUCAAGCCCAGUUGACAGUCCUACUUUCUGGCCUGAAAACGCAUUUUCCCCAGUGGCAGCCGAAGUAUUAAGGUUGGUUAUGGCUACUCACUGGUGAUGAUGGGAGGCACUUCGCAAUUGCUUGAAGAAAGCAUUCCAAACUGUUCUAGGGGUCCUUGCUCUCUCUCUCUCUCUUUUUUCUUGGGAAGGGAAAAAUUCAGUGCGGGUAGUUUCCUCCUUCACAUCCUCCUCAUGGUAAUAAUAAUAAUAAUAAUAAUAAUAAUAAUAAUAAUAAUAAUAAUAAUAAUAAUUCAAUUUCUAUACUGCCCUUCCAAAAAUGGCUCAGGGCAGUUUACAAAGAGAAAUAACAAAUAAGAUGGCUCCCUGUACCCAAAGGGCUCACAUUCUAAAAAGAAACAUAAGACACACACCAGCAACAGUCACUGGAGGUACUGUGCUGGGGGUGGACAGGGCCAGUUACUCUCCCCCUGCUAAAUAAAGAGAACACCACGGUAAAAGGUGCCUCUUUGCCCAGUUAUCAGGGGAACUCAUAUCUAUCUAUUUAGUUGGCAGCCUGUUAAACAGUUAACAAAGAUACCUAGCUGCUUCCAAAAGAAAAGGUGGUAACUCUAAUGCAUUAAUUCAGCUCACAUCAGAUCACUUAAUAGUGGUUGUAUGAAUUGUCCCUUUUGCUCAUAAUUUAUAAUAAUAACAAUAUUACAAUCAUAAACUUGAUUUGUUAGCCUCCCCAUAACAAAUUAUUCUCUGGGUGGCUUAUAACACAGCAUUAAAACAUUAGAUUAAAAACACACAGCAAAUAAAAUCAGAAUAGACAAAAAAGGAGGGGGGAGAAAAUGCAAAAUACAAUAGAAAACAAAUUAAAAGACAUUUUAAAAACAAUCAGUUAAAAUCAGAUCAAAAUUUAAAAGGCCUGAGUGAACAAAAAGUUCUUAACUUGGCGUCUAAAAGAACAAAGUGAUGUCCAAAGUGUUGAUAAUUUCCACAUAGGAUGACCAAAUCCAAUAAAAUACAGGGCUCCUGUAUCUAUAUGUGUUGUGUAAAUGAGGGAACUUUGGCAGGUGAAGUGUUUCUUGCCUCUGAUGUGUGACAGACAAGCCGUACUUGCUGUAAUUCUCUUCACGACAUGACUAGUAAAGGUACAAGAGUCAUCUCCUAUUUUGUAUCUAGUCACCUACCUUAGAGCCAUCUUAAUGAAGCCAUCUUGUUCAGCAGUUUCCAAUAUAAUUUCUCGUAUGCUGGGGCUGACUAAGCUCUUCUGAGAGAAAAACGAACUAUUUCCCCAAGGUCCAUGAUUGUGGCUCACUGAAGAGGACCGCCAGCUUUGAAGACAUUUCUCCUCUAUUCUAACUUUCUUCCCUACUGUAACAGGAAUGCUAUAAUGUUGUGUCAAGUGAAACUGUCUCUACUGUUUGAUAUAGCUCAGCAGCAAUAUGCUUUUAACGGGUGUUUCACUAAGAGUUGCUUGCUUAAACAAGCACCAAUGGCUUUUGAUGGCCGAUGGCUACUAGAUGGGACAGACUGCAUUCCACCUGCUUGGGUGGAAGGAGGAGGAAAGUAGUUUGAAUGUAUCUAAUGAAGGAAAAAGAAAGGUGAGGUCUGCCAUUGUCGAAUGGGGCUGGGGGAGAGGUGUGGGAGGUUUCCAAGUGCAUCUUGUUUGCUUUUGAGGAACUGAUAUUGCUUUCAAGAUUCACAUUGUUUGUCUAGGUGCUUGCCUACUCCCCUCAGUGCUCAGUUUGUAUCUUUGUAAACAGAUGGCUAUGACAAAAAUACCAUACAUUUCCAGUAUUCUUCCUUCCUAAGAUAAGAACAGUAAUGCUGUAAAAGGCUGGCCUGGGUACCCGCUAUCAUAUAGAGCUGUCAGCCACAUUAUGGUUGGCUUCCUUAUUGUUUUUUAUUAUUGUUGUUAUUGUUAUUGUCGUUGUUUAUUUUAUUUUAUUUAUUUAUUUAUUUAUUUAUUUAUUUAUUUAUUAAUACUACUACUAUUUUUGUUUACACAGUCAGAUAGGCGUUAUUGACUGGUUUGUUUUAUCCAGACAUCGAGUCCUUCCCAAGGACCUGGGAUGGCUGAAUUUUAUUAUCAAUGUUGCUGCUGUUAUUAUUAUAGAUAUUGUCGCAGAAUAUAGACUGUUCCCAGUAAAGUUGCUUUUUUGUAAUUGGCUGAUGGUGAUUUCCGUGGCCUCUAUGGUGUGUUGAGGUGCUCUUCAAGUUGUUUUGGAAUUGCACCUAGGGCUCCAAUUACUUUCAAUUUCAAUUUGUAGAUCUUUGUAUUUGGUGAUUUUUUCCAUUUCUUUUUCUUCUAUUCUGCUAUCCCCUGGUAUUGCUAUGUCGAUUAUUUUGACUUGUUUUUCUUUCUUCUCAACUACAGUUAUAUCUGGUGUAUUGUGUGGCAGAUGUUUGUCUGUUUGUAGUCGGAAGUCCCAUAAUAUUUUUGCAUCUUCAUUUUCUUCAACUUUUUCAAUUUUAUGGUCCCACCAGUUUUUGGCUACAGGUAGCUUGUAUUAUUAUUAAUACUAUUAAUAUUAUUAAUAUUAUAUUAUUAAUAUCAUUAUUAAUUGUCAGAUAACACUCCUACCACUGGAAUAUUAUUACUGACAUUGGGGGAAAUUAUCACAGCAGACACAAAUCCAAAGAAUGCCUUCCCCAGAUCUUGCUGAGUUCUGAAUCUAUAAAGAUUGUGCCAGAAAUUCAUUAAAUGUUAGACAAAACAGGGUGAGAUUCCCCCCCACCGCACUUGUUGCUUUUAUUAACUGAAACCCAGCAAUAGGAAACAGUGCCAAAGAAUGCCAUUUAGCAAAUCAGCAAUGUGUUUGUUUGCAAGCUAUUGUGAAUGGUUGAAUGAAUGAAAUAUUGGAUAGGAAAAGGCCAUUAAGCUUUGCAACAGUUCUUUAGUUUAAUAAACAGUGCUUACCAGCUUUGUCCCUGCACUUUCUCAGCUUUUGUAUAACUACACAACGUGCGGAGGCCUUGACAAAUUAUCGAUGUUCUUUACUCCACUGGUAUUGUUUGGUUACUUAAAUGCAAAAAACUCUUAUUCCUUUUAAUGCUGCAUGCCCCAGCAUGCAGCCUCGGGAGUUAUUAGAUAGAAUAACAUUCUCUAAGGUGAUGGGGAAAAGCUGACAUGAUGACUAUCUUGUAGGACCUGUUACUUCCCCACUGGUAUGUUUCCCAGACUAUGGGAAACAUCUAUAUUGGGCAACAGCGAUAUGAGAAAGAUGGUGAAAGUCAUCAUCUCAUACUGCAUGGGAGAUGGCAAUGGUAAGCCCCUCCUGUAUUCUACCAAACACAACCACAGGGCACCUGGAGUUGACACGGACUCCACGGUAGACUUCACCUUCACCUUUACUUCUAGAGGGCAGUUGCACUUGUAGUGUGCAUAUGGUUGCUAACUGUGGAUUUCAAAAAUACUGCUCCCUCCUUGGCAGCGCUGGGGUAGAAUUUGGUAGAUCAGAGUCUGAUGGGACCAGAGGCAAGUCAAGAGCAAAACGUUUUGGUCAGGUGGCUGUGAAGUUCCCUGAAACCCACCAGGAUGCAGUUUUACUGGUCAGCUGGAAAUCCUAGUUUUAGGUUGGGACACUAUAGCUUGCACAGCUUGCACUGAUCCUCUGGUUGUCUAUAAACUGAAAGAAUUGUGGGAGAGUUAUAAUGACAGGAGCGUAGCUAUAAUUGAGCUAAUGGGUUCAAAGAACCUGGGCCCUCCAGCUCUACCCUUCCCUAUUUUCUUUAUUAUCCCCCUCACUUGAAGGGGCCACCAGGGAGAGGGGCAAACACUGAAGUCCAUUCAGUUCAUGCCCAAAUUGCCCAACCUAUCAAAACUACUUUGCUAAGUUAUUUUAUGGAAAUAUGUUCUGGAUAUGUGUUGUGGGACACAAGGGGUGAAAUGGCAUAACAUGGCUCAAGACCUUUUGCAGGGCAGCAUAAUAUAGCAACAACAAAAAACUUGGAUAUUCAGUUUGGCUUAUGAUCUUCGAGUCAAGAUCAUUUCUUCCACAGAUCCUUCUUUCAGAAACCCAACCAUUUUGCCCAGUUGCCUCUCUUUCAGCUACCGAACAAAAUAAGAAAAGGUAAUUUGCACUGUUUCCUGCUGUUGAAUAUUGUGAUUUGAUAGAGGACUGCAACCCUGAAUGAUGCUGGACAAUCUGAGAAGAAAGCAGACGAAAAGCAGAGCGCUGCGUGUCCAAAUGCACUCCACACCUGGCUGCCGGCAACCUCUUGUGCUUCUUUGUUGUACUGUAUCUUCGGGCUGGAGGCUUUCAAGGGUACCUUUAUUCCUCUGAUUACAAAAUUAGUGUUGGGUUU